CGGACGGGUGCGGAACACGUGGGCAACCUGCCCUGAGGUGGGGGAUAGCCGGUGGAAACACCGGGUAAUUCCGCAUAAGGUCACAGACCGGAGGGUGUGUGAGGAAAGGGUCUUCGGACUCGCCUUAGGAGGGGCCUGCGGCCGAUUAGCUAGACGGUGGGGUAACGGCCUACCGUGGCGAUGAUCGGUAGCUGGUCUGAGAGGACGGCCAGCCACACGGGGACUGAGACACGGCCCCGACUCCUACGGGAGGCAGCAGCAAGGAAUCUUCCGCAAUGGGCGAAAGCCUGACGGAGCAACGCCGCGUGUGGGAUGACGCCUUUCGGGGUGUAAACCACUUUUCUCAGGGAAGAAGCAAUGACGGUACCUGAGGAAUAAGGACCGGCUAACUACGUGCCAGCAGCCGCGGUAAUACGUAGGGUGCGAGCGUUGUCCGGAAUUAUUGGGCGUAAAGAGCUUGUAGGCGGUUUGUCGCGUCUGCUGUGAAAUCCCGGGGCUUAACUCCGGGCUUGCAGUGGGUACGGGCAGGCUAGAGUAUGGUAGGGGAGACUGGAAUUCCUGGUGUAGCGGUGGAAUGCGCAGAUAUCAGGAGGAACACCGAUGGCGAAGGCAGGUCUCUGGGCCAUUACUGACGCUGAGAAGCGAAAGCGUGGGGAGCGAACAGGAUUAGAUACCCUGGUAGUCCACGCCGUAAACGUUGGGCGCUAGGUGUGGGUCCCAUUCCACGGGGUCCGUGCCGCAGCUAACGCAUUAAGCGCCCCGCCUGGGGAGUACGGCCGCAAGGCUAAAACUCAAAGGAAUUGACGGGGGCCCGCACAAGCGGGCGGAGCAUGCGGAUUAAUUCGAUGCAACGCGAAGAACCUUACCAAGGCUUGACAUAUACCGGAAACGUUUCAGAGAUGGGCGCCCCGCAAGGUCGGUAUACAGGUGGUGCAUGGUUGUCGUCAGCUCGUGUCGUGAGAUGUUGGGUUAAGUCCCGCAACGAGCGCAACCCUCGUUCUAUGUUGCCAGCACGUAAUGGUGGGGACUCAUAGGAGACUGCCGGGGUCAACUCGGAGGAAGGUGGGGAUGACGUCAAAUCAUCAUGCCCCUUACGUCUUGGGCUUCACGCAUGCUACAAUGGCUAGUACAGAGGGCUGCGAUACCGUGAGGUGGAGCGAAUCCCUUAAAGCUGGUCUCAGUUCGGAUUGGGGUCUGCAACUCGACCCCAUGAAGUCGGAGUCGCUAGUAAUCGCAGAUCAGC
rnacentral:rRNA from 1 species